rnacentral:rRNA from 1 species
UACGUAGGGGGCAAGCGUUGUCCGGAAUUAUUGGGCGUAAAGAGCUCGUAGGCGGUUGUUGCGUCGGCUGUGAAAUCCCGAGGCUCAACCUCGGGUCUGCAGUCGAUACGAGCAAACUAGAGUGUUGCAGGGAGACUGGAAUUCCUGGUGUAGCGGUGAAAUGCGCAGAUAUCAGGAGGAACACCGGUGGCGAAGGCGGGUCUCUGGGCAACAA